rnacentral:rRNA from 1 species
UACGAAGGGGGCGAGCGUUGUUCGGAUUUACUGGGCGUAAAGGGCGCGCAGGCGGCGAGUUUUGUCAGGCGUGAAAGCCCCGGGCUCAACCUGGGAAUUGCGCUUGAAACGGGCUUGCUAGAGAUCGGGAGAGGAGCGUGGAAUUCCCAGUGUAGAGGUGAAAUUCGUAGAUAUUGGGAAGAACACCGGUGGCGAAGGCGGCGCUCUGGACCGAGACUGACGCUGAGGCGCGAAAGCGUGGGGAUCAAACAGG